rnacentral:rRNA from 1 species
GAAUCAACGCUGGCGGCGUGCCUAACACAUGCAAGUCGAACGCGAAAGUCCCGCAAGGGAUGAGUAGAGUGGCAAACGGGUGAGUAACACGUGGGUGACCUGCCUUCGAGCGGGGGAUAACGUCCCGAAAGGGACGCUAAUACCGCAUGACAUCCUGUUUUUUAAGAGAUGGUGAUCAAAGCCGGGGAUCGCAAGACCUGGCACUCGAAGAGGGGCCCGCGCCUGAUUAGCUAGUUGGUGAGGUAACGGCUCACCAAGGCAACGAUCAGUAUCCGGCCUGAGAGGGCGGACGGACACACUGGGACUGAGACACGGCCCAGACUCCUACGGGAGGCAGCAGUGGGGAAUUGUUCGCAAUGGGCGCAAGCCUGACGACGCAACGCCGCGUGGAGGAUGAAGAUCUUCGGGUCGUAAACUCCUUUCGAUCGAGACGAACGGCCCUGGGGUGAAUAAUCCCGGGGAGUGACGGUACCGAGAGAAGAAGCCCCGGCUAACUCCGUGCCAGCAGCCGCGGUAAUACGGGGGGGGCAAGCGUUGUUCGGAAUUACUGGGCGUAAAGGGCUCGUAGGCGGCCAACUAAGUCGGACGUGAAAUCCCUCGGCUUAACCGGGGAACUGCGUCCGAUACUGGAUGGCUUGAGUGUGGGAGAGGGAUGCGGAAUUCCAGGUGUAGCGGUGAAAUGCGUAGAUAUCUGGAGGAACACCGGUGGCGAAGGCGGCAUCCUGGACCAUUACUGACGCUGAGGAGCAAAAGCCAGGGGAGCAAACGGGAUUAGAUACCCCGGUAGUCCUGGCCCUAAACGAUGAAUGCUUGGUGUGGCGGGUAUCGAUCCCUGCCGUGCCGAAGCUAACGCAUUAAGCAUUCCGCCUGGGGAGU